UCCGAAUUAGUGUAGUGGUUAACAUAACUUGAUUUCAUGAGGAUCGAAGCCUGGCAAAUUGAUUCAUUGGAUAUUCAAUGAACCGGACCAAGAUAUCUCAAUUCGAGUAGCCCCAGGUUCGACUCCUGGAUUCGGAA